rnacentral:rRNA from 1 species
UGAUGACGAGACGCUAAGGCGUUGAAGCAGUGUAUGUCAGACUUCCAAGAAAAGCUCGCAAUGUCACAAAUAAAACCUGCCUGUACCAUAACCGACACAGGUGGGUAGGUAGAGUAUACUAAGGGGCGCGAGAUAACUCUCUCUAAGGAACUCGGCAAAAUGACUCCGUAACUUCGGGAGAAGGAGUGCCUUAUUUAUAAGGUUGCAAUAACAAGAUCCAAGCAACUGUUUAUCAAAAACACAGGUCUCCGCUAAGUCGUAAGACGAUGUAUGGGGGCUGACGCCUGCCCAGUGCCAGAAGGUUAAAGAAGUUGGUUAGUGUAUGCGAAGCUGAUGACUGAAGCCCUGGUGAACGGCGGCCGUAACGAUAACGGUCCUAAGGUAGCGAAAUUCCUUGUCGGGUAAGUUCCGACCCGCACGAAAGGCGUAAUGAUUUGGAUACUGUCUCGGAGAGAGGCUCGGUGAAAUAGACUUGUCUGUGAAGAUGCGGACUACCUGCGCCAGGACAGAAAGACCCUAUGAAGCUUUACUGUAACUUGAAAUUGGAAUUGGACUUUGCUUGCGCAGUAUAGGUGGGAAGCGUUGAAAAUAUUCUUGCGGGAGUAUUGGAGCUAUCAGUGAGAUACCACUCUUGUAAUGUUAGAUUUCUAACUUUGAACCAUAAUCUGGUCAAAGAACAGUUUCAGGUGGGCAGUUUGACUGGGGCGGUCGCCUCCCAAAUGGUAACGGAGGCGUACAAAGGUUUCCUCUGAACGGAUAAAAAUCGUAUCUAGAGUGUAAAGGCAUAAGGAAGCUUGACUGUGAGACCUACAAGUCGAGCAGGGACGAAAGUCGGUCUUAGUGAUCUGACGGUACUGAGUGGAAAGGCCGUCACUCAACGGAUAAAAGUUACUCUAAGGAUAACAGGCUGAUCUCCCCCAAGAGUUCACAUCGACGGGGAGGUUUGGCACCUCGAUGUCGGCUCAUCGCAUCCUGGGGCGGUAGUACGUCCCAAGGGUUGGGCUGUUCGCCCAUGAAAGCGGUACGCGAGCUGGGUUCAGAACGUCGUGAGACAGUUCGGUCCAUAUCCGGUGUAGGCGCUAGAAUAUUGAGAGGAGCCUUCUUUAGUACGAGAGGGCCGAGAAGGACACACCGCUGGUGUACCAGUUAUCGUGCCAACGGUAAACGCUGGGUAGCUAUGUGUGGAGUGGAUAACCGCUGAAAGCAUCUAAGUGGGAAGCCCACCUCGAGAUGAGUA